ensembl:lncRNA
UGAGAUAAUUGUGACUAGAAAUAAGACAAAUACUCUUGGUAAGAUUUUGAGUUUUUGCAGUGUGAUCACACCUGAUGCGUUUCCUUUAAUCACAAAUGUAGGAUCCGAUGCGCUCGGGUGCGGUCCGUGUGCAGUCUGUGGUCCGGGAACGCCCCCACGGACACCCAGGCACUGUCAGUGGGGGUGUUCAUGCUGCAUGCUGCAGGUGAUGGCAGCUCGCUUUAAAAACCUUCCAGAUGCAUCGAAGGUCCUGGAUCACAGGAAGCCCUGCGUCGAGCAGCAGACGAGGACACUGCGCUGAACACAACAGCUGGUCUGAAGUUUAGUGACGCGGGCGUGCCGCUCGAUGUCAGAAGAAAAGAUUUCAGUCUGAACAAAUAACGAAUCAUUGAGAUCAUCCGCUGGCGCUCUACUAUUCAGAACAUCUGGAACGAUGUGAUUUCUCUCCAAAAGCUCUCGACUAUUAAAACUGUCUAAGAAUAAUGUUUAAACGCAGCUAAAAGAUGAUCCUGGUGUCACAUGUCGGUACAAAGACGACCCUUCAUAUCCCCUAACCUGUUUUACCUUUAGCAGCCGCCCAGUGAUGGCACAGGCCUAGAAACUUUACCCACAAUGCACUUUUUUAAAUUCCCAUCGCCCGAGACGCUUUGUUGGCUCUUUGCAUGGGUCACGUUGGCCCCUCCCACACGCUCUCUUACCGUCUGCUGACAUCAUGACCCGGUGAUGUCCACCAGGCUCUCAUGUCAGUAACGAUUUAUGGCUGACGUCAGAAUCUAAAUGGUGCCACCUGUAGGCUGAGAGCAGUAAUUACAGUCUCGUGAUGUUGGCCAGUAAUAAAUAUGAACAGCAGGUGUGAAACAGUAAAAGUCUAUUUUAUAAAACUGAAAUGACCUGUAAUAUAAACGAUUUCAUUAUGAGCUUCAUUUUUAUAGAAGACGUGUAGCUGUCGUCCGUGACGUGAAACAUACGAUCAGCCUGUAAGAUCCCACGCCGCCGCCGGUCAGGAGGAUCGCCCGUCUGUCCGACCUGCGUCUCAGCUGACGUGUUCCUCGUGUGUUUUCCUGUUUGUGGCGAGGAAGGUGAACUGAAAGCAGUGUCUUUGUUUGUUAAAGGAAAGUGCCUGAAGCCUCCUCUUCAUCCUGUGCUGAUGUACGUUUCACUCAAUCAUGUGUAAAGAAUAUAAGGUGAAUUCAUAAGUUUGUCUUUUUAUAUAUAAUUCACAUUUGUACCUAUGUAAAAAAACAAAAACACAAAAAGAUUCUAUAUAAAUCUAUGUAUCAGGUGUAUGAUGUACAUUUUCAGUUCUAUUUUUUUAUUGUUUCUAUUAUGUGAGCGAGCCGAGG